AGACAGAAGCACAAAAACAGACACACACAGAAGGAUGUGACCACACGGAACAACGAGCCGACACAGAGGGAUAAUAAGAGAGACGGAGAUCCAGGUAGAGACAGGAAGAGCUGAAGAAGAGACGGGCCUGGCUUGGAGAGCUGCUAUCAAGAAGCACAAAAACAGCUUAAAUAAUGAUUUGGACCCAGGCAGCGAGCCGAGCUUUGAGUUUCUCCCUUUGAUCGAACCAAACGAGGCCGCAAGAGCCGGAAAGGCGCCAGGCCCCGGUGGCCUUUUGGGCCCCAGGGGGCAGUGAUAGGAGGCAAUGGCAGCCGGAGCUGUUUACAGGAACCCGUGGAUGGAACCAGUGACAUCAGGACACUUUACUGAGAAGGACCAGUUCUACUGCUGUCAGCAUGUAGGAGGUGCCAUUUUAG